UACGUAGGGAGCAAGCGUUGUUCGGAAUUACUGGGCGUAAAGGGCGCGUAGGCGGCCUUCUAAGUCAGACGUGAAAUCCCUCGGCUCAACCGGGGAACUGCGUCUGAGACUGGAAGGCUUGAAUCCGGGAGAGGGAUGUGGAAUUCCAGGUGUAGCGGUGAAAUGCGUAGAUAUCUGGAGGAACACCGGUGGCGAAGGCGGCAUCCUGGACCGGUAUUGACGCUGAGGCGCGAAAGCCAGGGGAGCAAACGGG
rnacentral:rRNA from 1 species